CUAAGCAUAUCAAUAAGCGGAGGAAAAGAAACCAACAGGGAUUGCCUCAGUAACGGCGAGUGAAGCGGCAACAGCUCAAAUUUGAAAUCUGGCCCCCCUCUGGGGGGUCCGAGUUGUAAUUUGCAGAGGGCGCUUUGGCAUCGGCGGCGGUCUAAGUUCCUUGGAACAGGACAUCGCAGAGGGUGAGAAUCCCGUACGUGGGCGCCUGCCUUUGCCGUGUAAAGCCCCUUCGACGAGUCGAGUUGUUUGGGAAUGCAGCUCUAAAUGGGAGGUAAAUUUCUUCUAAAGCUAAAUACCGGCCAGAGACCGAUAGCGCACAAGUAGAGUGAUCGAAAGAUGAAAAGUACUUUGGAAAGAGAGUCAAAUAGCACGUGAAAUUGUUGAAAGGGAAGCGCUUGCAGCCAGACGUGCGCGCGGUUGCUCACCCCGGCUCUCGCCUGGGGCACUCUUCCGCGCGCAGGCCAGCAUCAGUUCGGGCGGUCGGAUAAAGGCCUCUGUCAAGUACCUUCCCCCGGGAAGGCCUUAUAGGGGAGGCGCAAUGCGACCAGCCCGGACUGAGGUCCGCGCAUCUGCUAGGAUGCUGGCGUAAUGGCUGUAAGCGGCCCGUCUUGAAACACGGACCAAGGAGUCUAACAUCUAUGCGAGUGUUUGGGUGUCAAGCCCGGGCGCGCAAUGAAAGUGAACGGAGGUGGGAUCCCCUUCCGGGGUGCACCAUCGACCGAUCCUGAUGUCUUCGGAUGGAUUUGAGUAAGAGCAUAGCUGUUGGGACCCGAAAGAUGGUGAACUAUGCUUGAAUAGGGUGAAGCCAGAGGAAACUCUGGUGGAGGCUCGCAGCGGUUCUGACGUGCAAAUCGAUCGUCAAAUUUGGGCAUAGGGGCGAAAGACUAAUCGAACCAUCUAGUAGCUGGUUCCUGCCG
rnacentral:rRNA from 1 species